UACGUAGGGAGCAAGCGUUGUCCGGAAUCAUUGGGCGUAAAGAGCGCGUAGGCGGCCCUGUAAGUCCGUUCUGAAAGUCAAAGGCUCAACCUUUGAAAGCGGAUGGAUACUGCAGGGCUAGAGUCCGGAAGAGGCGAGUGGAAUUCCUGGUGUAGCGGUGAAAUGCGCAGAUAUCAGGAGGAACACCUAUUGCGAAGGCAGCUCGCUGGGACGUUACUGACGCUGAGACGCGAAAGCGUGGGGAGCAAACAGG
rnacentral:rRNA from 1 species